CGGAGACGGAAGGAGUGCUUUUAUUAGAUCAAAACCAAUCGGUGGCGGGUUCGCCCGUCAUCGUACAACUUGGUGACUCUGAAUAACUUUACGCUGAUCGCACGGUCUCGCACCGGCGACGCAUCUUUCAAAUGUCUGCCUUAUCAACUGUCGAUGGUAGGUUCUGCGCCUACCAUGGUUGUAACGGGUAACGGGGAAUCAGGGUUCGAUUCCGGAGAGGGAGCCUGAGAAACGGCUACCACAUCCAAGGAAGGCAGCAGGCGCGCAAAUUACCCACUCCCGGCACGGGGAGGUAGUGACGAAAAAUAACGAUACGGGACUCAUCCGAGGCCCCGUAAUCGGAAUGAGUACACUCUAAACCCUUUAACGAGGAUCAAUUGGAGGGCAAGUCUGGUGCCAGCAGCCGCGGUAAUUCCAGCUCCAAUAGCGUAUAUUAAAGUUGUUGCGGUUAAAAAGCUCGUAGUCGAAUCUGUGUCCCGCGCCGCCGGUUCAUCGUCCGCGGUGUCAACUGGCGUGUCGCGGGACGUCCUGCCGGUGGGCUUAGCCCGCAAGGGCGGCCCAACUCAAUCCUGCCGCGGUGCUCUUCAUUGAGUGUCGAGGUGGGCCGGCACGUUUACUUUGAACAAAUUAGAGUGCUUAAAGCAGGCUAAAACUUCGCCUGAAUACUGUGUGCAUGGAAUAAUGGAAUAGGACCUCGGUUCUAUUUUGUUGGUUUUCGGAACCCCGAGGUAAUGAUUAAUAGGAACGGAUGGGGGCAUUCGUAUUGCGACGUUAGAGGUGAAAUUCUUGGAUCGUCGCAAGACGGACAGAAGCGAAAGCAUUUGCCAAAAACGCUUUCAUUGAUCAAGAACGAAAGUUAGAGGUUCGAAGGCGAUCAGAUACCGCCCUAGUUCUAACCAUAAACGAUGCCAGCUAGCGAUCCGUCGACGUUCCUCCGAUGACUCGACGGGCAGCUUCCGGGAAACCAAAGCUUUUGGGUUCCGGGGGAAGUAUGGUUGCAAAGCUGAAACUUAAAGGAAUUGACGGAAGGGCACCACCAGGAGUGGAGCCUGCGGCUUAAUUUGACUCAACACGGGAAACCUCACCAGGCCCGGACACCGGAAGGAUUGACAGAUUGAGAGCUCUUUCUUGAUUCGGUGGGUGGUGGUGCAUGGCCGUUCUUAGUUGGUGGAGCGAUUUGUCUGGUUAAUUCCGAUAACGAACGAGACUCUAGCCUGCUAACUAGGCGUAUUUUGACAUCGCAAAGGCCCGCCGAUAUUGGGGUUCGCUCCUUUAUCGCGCGCGGUUUUUACUGUCGGCGUACAAACAAUUCUUCUUAGAGGGACAGGCGGCUUCUAGCCGCACGAGAUUGAGCAAUAACAGGUCUGUGAUGCCCUUAGAUGUUCUGGGCCGCACGCGCGCUACACUGAAGGAAUCAGCGUGUCCUCCCUGGCCGAGCGGCCCGGGUAACCCGCUGAACCU
rnacentral:rRNA from 1 species